AAAAAAUAUUUACAUAAAAAAAGCAUAUCCAUUGCCUCAACAUAUUAGCAAAACGACACAGUUGUAUAAUAAAAUAAUACACACAUUUGAAAACAGAGCAUGUAUAUCAGUUAAUGAGAGAGAUCAUUGAAUAAUGGUGAGACUGGUUCAAGCUGCCAGAAAAGAGACCGUAACUGAAAUAUUUAAAAUGUUAUCAUUCAGAAAACAAUAUCUUAAUGCACAACUUAGUGGAUGGACUACAGCAGGUUUGAGACACAUGGGAUAGGAGCUUGCAGAUAAGGGGAAGCAUCGAGAGCUCCAAUAGGAAUGCUGAAAGGCAUAUUGAAUUUAGAGAGUUGGCUUUACUAGUAUUCCUUUCAGAGUGAGAGAGUACCCAUUUUUGUGUCCAGUAUUUCUGAUGGUAUAUUUGUUUUAUUUUCAAACCUCAGUCUGUUAAACCAUUUAUUUUCACUAAAACAACUAUAUUUAUUUAACAUUUUAAAAAGGUCUUCCCUAAAUUUCACCCCAACAAAAACAUAUAUGAAAGGAUUUAAACAACAGUGAAGAAAAGCAAUGCUCUGUGUUACUUUAUAGGCAAUGUCUAUGUUUCGAGAGGUUGUGCAUGUUGAAAUAAGAGCAUUUGCAGCAUCUGAUACUCUAACUAUAAGCAUACUGUUGUAAGGAACUUGUGACAAAACAAAUACUGCUAAGACAGCAAAAAUUACUUUUAAGGCUUUGUGCUUUUGAUAAUUUCUUGCUUGUACAAGUGUUGGGAUUAUCAUUGCAUAACAGAAUAUCAUAAUCAGAAAAGGGAUACAGAAUGCCAUUGUAACCUUUAAAGUUAUAACCAUUACCUUCAAAGCCUUGCCUAAUUUUAUAGGAUAAGAUAUUGUACAGAAUUUAUGAAAAGAUCCUUCCUUUAUGUUGCUAAACAAUAUCUCUGGAAGACUUAAGACUGUUGCAAGGAUCCAAACAGACAAACAGACAAAUUUGCUGAAAAUGAUUCUCCUGUUCCGAUACUUUUGUGCUUUAGCAGCUUGGACAAUGGCUAUGUAUCUGUCAACACUAAUGCAAGCAAGUAAUAGCAUUCCACUGUACACGUUAAUUGUAUAAAUGCUAUUAACAAUUUUACAAUGAACGGGUCCAAAAAUCCAAUUAUGAGAUGAAGCAAUUGCCCAAAAGGGAAGGGUCAUGAGAAAAAGUAGGUCAGCAAUAGCUAGAUUGAUGAGGUAGGUGUCUGUCAUUGUCUUUAAUCUUCUGUAAUUUAUGUAAAUGAUUAUAAUCAAAACAUUUCCAAGUAGCCCAAGAACAAACACACACCAAUAAAUUGGGGGAAGGACAUAUGCUGCAAAUUCUCGUACACUACUUUUUUCACAGUAUGAAUCUGUGUCAUCAAAUGAGUAAUCAGGUGUACUAGCAGAAUAGAGG